rnacentral:rRNA from 1 species
AGUGAACGCUGGCGGUAGGCCUAACACAUGCAAGUCGAACGGCAGCACAGUAAGAGCUUGCUCUUACGGGUUGCGAGUGGCGGACGGGUGAGGAAUACAUCGGAAUCUACUUUUUCGUGGGGGAUAACGUAGGUAAACUUACGCUAAUACCGCAUACGACCUACGGGUGAAAGCAGGGGAUCUUCGGACCUUGCGCGAUUGAAUGAGCCGAUGUCGGGUUAGCUAGUUGGCGGGGUAAAGGCCCACCAAGGCGACGAUCCGUAGCUGGUCUGAGAGGAUGAUCAGCCACACUGGAACUGAGACACGGUCCAGACUCCUACGGGAGGCAGCAGUGGGGAAUAUUGGACAAUGGGCGCAAGCCUGAUCCAGCCAUACCGCGUGGGUGAAGAAGGCCUUCGGGUUGUAAAGCCCUUUUGUUGGGAAAGAAAAGCAGCAGGUUAAUACCCCGCUGUUCUGACGGUACCCAAAGAAUAAGCACCGGCUAACUUCGUG